rnacentral:rRNA from 1 species
GACGAACGCUGGCGGCGUGCCUAAUACAUGCAAGUAGGACGCAGUUUCGAACGGGUGAGUAACGCGUAGGUAACUAUCUCUUAGAGGGGGAUAACUAAUUGAAACGAUAGCUAAUAUCGCAUACUAGUAGAUGGACCUGCGUUGUAUUAGCUAGUAGGUUGGGUAAUUGCCUACCUAGGCAACGAGACAUAGCUGAACCUGGGGGGGGGUCGGGCACACUGGGACUGGGACAAGGCCCAGACUCCUACGGGAGGCAGCAAUAGGGAAACUUCGGCAAUGGGGGGAACCCUGGCCGGGCAAAGGCGCGGGAGUGAAGAAGGUUUUCGGGUCGUAAAGCUCUGGUGUUAAGGGAGCGGUACUUAACCAGAAAGGGACGGCUAACUACGUGCCAGCAGCCGCGGUAAUUC